rnacentral:rRNA from 1 species
UCAGAAUGCUGCGGUGAAUACGUUCCCGGGUCUUGUACACACCGCCCGUCACACCAUGGGAGUCGGAAAUGCCCGAAGCCGGUGACCAAACCAAUAAGGAAGGAGCCGUCGAAGGCAGGUCUGAUAACUGGGGUGAAGUCGUAACAAGGUAUC